UAGGGAAUCUUCGGCAAUGGGGGCAACCCUGACCGAGCAACGCCGCGUGAGUGAAGAAGGUUUUCGGAUCGUAAAGCUCUGUUGUAAGUCAAGAACGAGUGUGAGAGUGGAAAGUUCACACUGUGACGGUAGCUUACCAGAAAGGGACGGCUAACUACGUGCCAGCAGCCGCGGUAAUACGUAGGUCCCGAGCGUUAUCCGGAUUUAUUGGGCGUAAAGCGAGCGCAGGCGGUUAGAUAAGUCUGAAGUUAAAGGCUGUGGCUUAACCAUAGUACGCUUUGGAAACUGUUUAACUUGAGUGCAGAAGGGGAGAGUGGAAUUCCAUGUGUAGCGGUGAAAUGCGUAGAUAUAUGGAGGAACACCGGUGGCGAAAGCGGCUCUCUGGUCUGUAACUGACGCUGAGGCUCGAAAGCGUGGGGAGCAAACAGGAUUAGAUACCCUGGUAGUCCACGCCGUAAACGAUGAGUGCUAGGUGUUGGGUCCUUUCCGGGACUCAGUGCCGCAGCUAACGCAUUAAGCACUCCGCCUGGGGAGUACGACCGCAAGGUUG
rnacentral:rRNA from 1 species